UCAUGUACGCCUUAACUUUACAUUGUAUAUAGUGCGCCCUCUAUUGACCUGAGAUGUAAAUAAUCCCGAAUAAAGUACUAGUGUGUGUGUAAGAUAUUUGUAUCUGACUCUUUAUUUGAAAAUGUCUCUCACCCAAAAGAGACGUUACAAUAUGUUUGGAUCAGCGCUAUCGCUAUCUCUGUCAAUUUGUUUCCCCCAACACACACUAUAUACCGUCACUAUAUGAGUAUGAGGAACUCGCACUACAUAGACUGUAUGGGGAUUCAAGUAAAUUUUCGCUUGUAUCCCCGCCCUGCAAACAGCCGGGGAAUGGCUGACCCCUAUGUUUUGCGUGUGUGCAAUCAUGAUGGCGGUUAACCUGAUCAUGUUGGAACCAUUGUGCGACGAAAACUGUCCUGAGAUUGAGAGCCCAUCUGAAACCAAAACAUUAUGAUGCGUGUAAAGCUCUAUAUCGCCAUUAUCGACAGUCACGAAGUAAAGAAAGUGAUGACUUUUACGGAACUGCUUCUUAUCACAGAAUGCUAUUAGUUCCACUCUGGAUAAACUCAACAAGGAGCUCCGCCACUCCUUUGGACUCCAGGGUCAAGGAUCUGGUGGAUUGAUCCAUGUCCUAACAUCAGAGCAAGUGAAUGUUUUUUUUCCUCCAGGAAAUAGAGCAUUAUUCAAGGCGAUGCUCCGAGGAAGACACCUCAGCCCAUCCCUUGCGGCAACCUCAAUCGGGAAGCAAAAAGGGACAGAAAAUGGGUGUUAGCACCAAAUGUGCAGCUGGAUGGGGAUGGUUCUGUCAUUCGACAGGAUCAACAGACGUUUGUCUGGGUGGACCAAAUUUUGCCCAAGGGGGAAAAACAGCUGAAGAUUCCAAACAGCUUUGGAGCAGUUGAUCCCGACCAAAUGCUGCAUGACAUCUACAAUUCACUGGCCAACGCACUCCAUGAGAAUGCGAUGUCGGCAUUCUUCGUAAUAGGAUGCGCAUGUCUCGCCAUGCACUAUGAAGCAAUGCUUCAAGUGUUCAAAUGCUGUCCUGUUCCAAUUGUCAUUGGGGAUCUGAACACAGGCAAGACCACUGCGUCAAGAAUGGCAGCAAGAAUUAUGGGACAAAGCGGCAGAUUGUUUGCCUUCGCAAAGGACCGUUUUCUGCCUCGCCAAACAGCAGGCACUUCUUUUCCACCAAUUCUAGACGAUGCAGAUGCACCAGGUAUGGAACACAUAUUGACCCACUAUUUCAACGGUGGGUCAGACGCAACUUGCUCAGCAGAAUCCGAACCGCGCACCUGCCCAUUAAUAACUGCAAAUUGGUUUUAUCUGGACAGAGUUGCGGGAAAUUGCAGAGCCAUGCCCAGAGCGGCCAUCAUGUUCUUCAUAAAGCAUGAAAGAAGGGGUUCUGAGGAACAGGCCCGCGCAGAGCUGAUGCGCUCUGAAGUGGAGGAAGUGGCCACCCAUGCCCUGCCGGUUCUGGUAUCGGUUGGCAAGCAACUACAAGACAGCAGAAACUCAUUAUGACCAAGUACAGAAGUAUGAUACUGGAGGCUACAAAGUCAUCUGAAUUGGAGGAUCGCCUAUUCCUGACAUAUGCAGUCUUGCUGUUUGUCACGGAAUAUCUCCUGGAGAAGGCCGCUCUGGACAACUUUCCCCCACACAGUGCAUAUGAUCAUCUAUGUGCUGUGAUUGUGCCCCAUAGUAUCCUUCGUUAUCAAGCUGGUCAUGCGAGUGCCAGCACCUCACCAUCAGCACCACCUUCCACCCAUGGUAACGAUGAGAUAUGUGAGGCUAUAGUCAAGAUUGUCAAAGAGACAGACCUAGGACUGCUUUUGACUGCUCUAAAUCCGUGUGUGGAGCAGAAGUCAGGCGAGUGUGGGAUCGCAUUCAGUUUUAACUCAUUGAUGAAGCUGAUGGUAGAGAUUAAUAUUUCUGGUCCAGCCAAGCAAGUGUGGCGGAGAAGAUUCCAGACUGACCCCAGCAUCAAAACCUCCACGCAAGCCUACUUGAACAGCUCUACCAAUCACCACAAAAUCAGCAGAGGGGUGGUCCAUCGUCGACACAGCCUGUCAACAAAUCGACAGUUUGGAUGUCCUACAAGUGUUUUUCUGAGCAACAGCUAGAACAACUCGAACAAGUGUUCAAGACUGGAGGCAAGAUGUUUCCAAACGGAUCUGAAACAUCUACUGAAGUCGAUAUAGGCCUAUCACAAACAGCUGAUGAUGAAGUGGAUAUUGCUUCUGCAUCAAGUGACAUGUCCCGAAUGGAAGAAAAUGCCUGUGAGUGACUUUUAAUAAUGUAUAAGCGCUUCAGUUGAUCUUCAAAAGCAGUAUAUAAGUAACCGGCAUUAUUACAACCGCCAAGUAAUACAUUUUGCUUUGGGAGACACUUUAGUGUUUAAAGUUAUACCUUUGGGAUACAAUGUGGAAUUAGGGUAACAUUUUAAUGUCCCCAGAAUGCAUCAGCCUCUACUUAGAGGCAAAAUUUCCGAGUUGAAAUGAAAUUCUCUCGACCAACAACGAUUUCACAAAUGAAGCCGAUUUGAAGUAAGGACAUAGACAUGUGUUUUCCCUUAGUUAUAGGUCUUUACUCUGGAUACAAAACAGCUAAAAUGUAUUAUAAGUUUUGUUGUUUGUGUAAAAUCAUUAAGUAUAUUCCACCAUAGUAUAGGCCCAGUCUGUUUUGCAUUGC